rnacentral:misc_RNA from 1 species
AAACAUGGACCCUAAAGCAUUAAUUGCAUGAACUACAGUUUUAUAUAUAUAGAAUUAAUAGAUAGACAAAUAAGCCAUAGAUAGAUAUCAUUGGCUAUAAUAGAUAAGGAAAUAUAUCCACCCAAAAGUUUAAGUGUAGAAGUGUGUGUGCUAUGAAUAGAAACGACCACACAUUAAUAGAUGCUAACAGAUGGCAUAAAUUGGAAACAGAUGCAUACGUUAGAGCCCAGUCUAGGGCG